AAGCACAGACAUACUAACGGUUGUAUCUUAGGUCCGUGGAAAGGAAGCAAUUGUUUUGUAAAAUGGAUCAGGUCAGGUCUUGGAACCUGGCCAAAAAGCCAAGAGCCUUCACCUGUUUUAUCUGGUGUUAUAAACAUAGUCCAGCUGCAAGAAUCUGGUCUUACCUUCACAGGGGUGGCAGAAGGCACCUGUCACACUAAGGUCACCGUCAUUUGGACAAUACUGUCAGGCACAAACCUCUCUGUUUGAAACAGACACCCAAGAACAUCAGGAGGAAUGUCCUUCAUAGGUAUAACUGAAGUCUCACCGGGAUUUACAAGAAGCACUGACCGCGUGGGUGCUGGAGCUCAUGGAAACACCCCUUGUUUCUACUGCCCUCGGCUGAUGUGUUUUCCUUUCAGCACCAAUGCGGCCGAGCCAGGUAAAUACACACCUGCCACCCGAACAUCUAUCCCACGAGAAAUAAUGAAAAGGAGGGUAGAUUCAAACAACAGCAACGAACAGUAUGCAUAUUGCAUCCUGUCAGACUAACUGGGUGUGUCUUUAGGGUGCUGUCACCUUUGUGUUUGCCUGCAGACGUACAGCGAGAAGCCCGGCACCAGCAGACAUGGGGGUAAAUUUGAGGUUACCCACAGCGGGGCAGUGCAAGCUCCGCACAGAGCAGAUCGUGGGCAGGCCGCGGGCAUCCCUUUUCCCCGGACAGCCCAAGCCUCGGUGUUCCCAGCGCGCUGCACAGGAAGGAUGGAGGCAGGGAAUUCUCCUCUUUGGGGGACCCCGACACCUCUUCCCCGCGGGGCCAGGCCGCUGCCCGCCCCCGCCGCAGGACUACAGCUCCCAGCGAGCCUUGCGCCGCCUCCAUCUUCCCCCUCACAAACACCGCGCGUAGCGUUCUCGAAACAACGCCUUGUUCAAAUAAAACCUGUCGUUCAAUAAAACUUUCUCAGAGUGUGCUUUGAGCCUGCACUGAGGCGCGCAGCUGAAAUAGAUCCUCGAAUUAGCCGAAUAGCCCUCAUGAUCUCGUUGGGUUCACUUCGGCAGGAGGCCAGAGUCUGCACUCCCGGGCUGCUGUCUCCCAGAGGAGCUGUAAAUCUGCUUUUCUUUCCUGGAGGGGAUGUGGUGUCCUGGGAAUGUCCUCGACAUCCAUGCUGGGUCAGCUCAUCCCCGCCUUCAGCAAUACUCAACAAACCCGGCCGCUGGCCUCUCUCAUCACUCAUGCCCCUUCACUGUUCCUCAGAAUCUGGGACGAUGAUCCUGAAGAUGCUGCCUGACAUCGCUGUGCUGCCUGCGAUUUCUCCUUGCUCAGACUUGCUGCCUACGAGUGAAAAGCUGUAGUUCAAGCUUUGCUAAAUCUCGUAUGUCUGUACUGG